UUGAAAACUUAAGGCAUUCUUACCUCAUUUUCUCGUGACUGUCCCUUGGUCUUUCUGCUUCAACUCCUUCAGCUCCUUAACUUUCGCUUCAACUCCGUCUCCAUUGUUGCGGUCUCCAUCAUCUCAUCGUCAAGCUCCAAUUUUAAUUUCCAAGAGUGUAAUAAAAUGACUCCAAGAAAAAAAUGGACAGCAAUUUCUACUACUCCUACUAAAAAGUAUAGAAGGAAAAUUAGUACCACAAAGACAGAGAAGAAGAAGAAAGUACCAAAUUAGGAAAGUCCAUAGAAGAAGUUGAAGACACAAGAUUGGAAAAUUCUACAAAUAAAGAAAGAGAAAGUCUAAUAAAUGUUUUUUAUACAAAUAUAGAAGGAGAUGAUAGAGGAGGAACAACAUGAUAUACAUAUUCCAGAAAAGGAGAUUUCUAUUGCUGAGCCUCCUCUGGUGCUCAUACUUUGUCCAUUAGAUAUUAUACGUAAUAUCAACACAAUGGCGCUAAAAGAGUUUUGCCUCUGAAAGUGGGGUUGCACUUUUAUUCACAUGUGACUUCCCACUAGUGAUCAUUGCCCAUGAAAAACAACGGAGUCAUCCUUUUAAUCUUCUUAAUUUUCCCAUUUUCUAGGGAGCUAUGCUUCUCUGCAUUGAGAGUUUGAUCUCUAAAACUCUAAGAAAUUUGAUCUACAUUUCAACUUUAUCACUGACCUAUAAAUUGCAAGGGAGGAUACUUUACCAGUUGUAUCUAAGACCCUUUACUAUUGCAUGGACAAUUUUAUUAGUCAUUGUUUGGGUUAACUUUGUUCCAAUGAUUUAUGAUCUUAGUUGGCA